rnacentral:rRNA from 1 species
UACGAAGGGGGCUAGCGUUGCUCGGAAUCACUGGGCGUAAAGGGUGCGUAGGCGGGGUUUUAAGUCAGGGGUGAAAUCCUGGAGCUCAACUCCAGAACUGCCUUUGAUACUGAAGAUCUUGAGUUCGGGAGAGGUGAGUGGAACUGCGAGUGUAGAGGUGAAAUUCGUAGAUAUUCGCAAGAACACCAGUGGCGAAGGCGGCUCACUGGCCCGAUACUGACGCUGAGGCACGAAAGCGUGGGGAGCAAACAGG